GACGAACGCUGGCGGCGUGCCUAACACAUGCAAGUCGAACGGGACUCAGCCCUUCGGGACUGAGUUUAGUGGCGAACGGGUGAGUAACGCGUGAGGAACCUGCCUUUCAGUGGGGGACAACAGUUGGAAACGACUGCUAAUACCGCAUAAUGCUUUUUGAUGGCAUCAUUGAAAAGCCAAAGAUUUAUUGCUGAAAGAUGGCCUCGCGUCUGAUUAGCUAGUUGGUGGGGUAACGGCCCACCAAGGCGACGAUCAGUAGCCGGUCUGAGAGGAUGAACGGCCACAUUGGGACUGAGAUACGGCCCAGACUCCUACGGGAGGCAGCAGUGGGGAAUAUUGGGCAAUGGGGGAAACCCUGACCCAGCAACGCCGCGUGAAGGAAGAAGGCCUUCGGGUUGUAAACGUUCUUUACCUAGGGACGAAAAAGUAGACGGUACCUCGGAGAAAAAGACAACGGACGUAACUACGUAGCCAG
rnacentral:rRNA from 1 species